GGCUCUCAACUUCGGUCGCUCCAUCUCUUUCCUCUAACGCCGGCCAGGUCCUUCUCCAAGCCCCGCCACGUCCGCUCCGUCAGCCUCCCCGGCACCACGUCCUCCCACCCGCUCCUUGCCAACCUCCACGCCCACAACGCCGCCCUCCGUUCCUGGAUCCACCCUUUCUCCUCCCUCCCGUCCGGCCUCACCGCCAUCCAGGCGCUCCACUGCUCCCUCGGCGACCUCCUCCUCCUCCCGGAGGCCGGGGCCGCGCUCCGGUGCCCUACCAGCAACGCCGCUGACCGCCUACUCGAUGCAUUCCUCCUCCUCGCUGACGCGCACCAGGGCUUCCAGGAGUGCCUCCUGUCGCUCAGACACGCUGCCACCGAGUCCCGCGCUGCGUUGCGCAGGGGCGACACCGGGAGGUUCACGUCUGUUGCCAGCUCCCAGCGUCGAGCAGAGAAGGAGCUCGCCCGUCUCGCUGCGUCCGUCUCCGCCAUCUUCUCCAAGAGCGCGCGCCUGAACCUCGUCGCCGUUAGCGGCGAGGAGGCCGAAAUGGCCUACGCGCUCGUCGAGGCGGCCGCUGCAAGCGCCGUGGCCUCCGCGGCCGUGUUCUCGGCCGCCGCGUCCAUGUCGUCCGCGGCAUCAUCUUCCAGGAAGACGGCCACGUUUAUUCCCGCGUUCGCCAGGAGGGCCACCACCACGCCGGACACGGCGGAGGCCAGAGUCGAGAGGCUGCACGCUCUGGAGUGGUGCUUGGACGAGUGCGAUGGCGCCUGCGACAUGGUGUUCAGGAGCGUGGUGCAGACCAGGGUUUCACUGCUCAACAUCGUGACGCCUACCAUCUAG
rnacentral:rRNA from 1 species